UGAAUCCGAGCGUUCUCUGGUCUGGACAGAGUGCCAGGCCUGUGGCAAAGCAGGUAACCUUUGAAACGGAAUCUGAUCUGCUGUCGGCCACUGCCCAGGCCACAGUCUGCCAAAGGGACAGCUGAACGAAAGGCUCAACUUCCUCCUUCAUCAGCUCCAAGUUCCAGGACAAGAGGCAGAACCAGGUGCCACCGAGCCUGCCACAGGUUUCUGCUUCUUGCCAAGUGUCUAUCUCUUACUCUACCGACCAUCACCAUUGACGUGUGUGAGGGGACAUCUGGAAGCACAGUCCUCUAAGACCAAGGGUGAUGGAAAUCAUCAGACACCAAGCAGCUCAUGCGUUCCAGAGGUUUCAGGACUGAACGUUGGUUCUGUGGUUCCCCGUUUGGCAUCUGGCUUUCAUUAGGCCAUAAAAAACAGUUUACGGCCCUUCUGGUUGGAACAAUAACUUUCACAGUAUCCGUAGUGGCUGAGUGGUUAUCAGAGGAAGAAAGACCACUAGCAGUCUGCGUCCUUGCUGUCUGUCAUGGGCGGUGCCAGCCUACGUGUUAACCUAUUCAUCUCGCUUCAACCUUACACGGGCCACUUCCAGCAUCGAUGGUGUCAGGUCAGGUCCUCUGGGUAGAAGAAAUGGAGUCAGUUAGGAGUGCUGGAGACUGAGUAAGAGGUGGCAGCUGAGGCUUACUACCCCAGGAAAGGGAUGCCACCAGAGAAGGCAGACAACCAAGAUGGCGACUCUCAAUUUUUGAGCUCCUAAUUUUCUCAUGUCAGACAUAAGAAAAAAAAAUAUUUUUUAAAGAAAAAGCUUUAGGUUGCAAAAAUCUAGGCCUUUCAACUUUAAAAUCCUAUUCUUGCAAGCCUUGGAGAAUAAAGCUUAUGCAUAAACAGUAGAUUUGGAAACAGAAAUAUGCCUAAUUACCCAGAGCCAUUCUUUCAAUACGCCAGUGAUUGUUUAAAGAUUCUAUAGGCUGGAGUCAAUGGCAGGAGGCGGGUGGGAAAAGAGUCAAGAGGGAGGAGAGAAGAAGCAAGAGGGUUGGGUAGAUAUUGUCACAUGACCCUGAGAGGAGGAUUCUGGGUCAAACCCCUAGGGGGUUGUGUGUAAUGGAGACUCCAGAUCCAUUUGGGAAUCUGGCUCCAAAGAAGACUUCACCUUGCCUUCUGAGUGGAGCCCUGAAGUGGCAAGACUCAUAGAAUUCCCCCACGGGUCCACACAAGAGAGAAUGAAUAGAGAAGGCUGCGUGCUGGCUGGACCAAGGCAGCCUCGGGUGACACCACCACCACCACCGCCGCUGCCGCCAUCGCCAUCACCACUGCCGCUGCCAUCACCGCCACCACCACCACCAUCACCACCACCAUCACCACAUUAUGGACAAUAGCCCAAUGUUUCCUGAGUUCCCUAGAGGGUUGAAAGAGAAUAGGACCUAGAGAGAUCACAUAGUUGGGACAGGCACUCAUUAAUUUGAUCCAAUGACAAGAGACCAGAUGGGAAGAAGGAUGCCUUGAGAGAUGUCAGUGUGCACCCAUGGAUAGAAGCAGCUGGUGACUGGGUACUUGGGAAGCCACAUGGACACACACAAAGCUCCUGGAAGACGUUUUCAAGGAGUUGGGCUGUGCUGGGAUCCAGAACUGGCUGAAGAAACCAUGAGCUGACAUAAAAUUUCUGCCACCUAGCAGAAUGGAGGCUCCAUUUGGAAAUUAAAUUAUAUACUUAAAAAAACUAUAAUUGCUUCAUUUCUUUUUUUUGAGAUGGAGUUUCACUCUUGUUGCCCAGGCUGUAGUGCAAUGGCACCAUCUCAGCUCACUGCAAACUCCGCUCCCGGGUUCAAGAGGUGAUCCUGCCUCAGCCUCCCGAGUAGCUAGGAUUACAGGUGUGCGGCCACCAUGCCCCGCUAAUUUUGUAUUUUCAGUAGAGACGGGGUUUUACCAUGUUGGUCAAGCUGGUCUCAAACUCCUG
rnacentral:lncRNA from 10 species